rnacentral:rRNA from 1 species
AUUGAACGCUGGCGGCAGGCUUAACACAUGCAAGUCGAACGAUGAUUAUCUAGCUUGCUAGAUAUGAUUAGUGGCGGACGGGUGAGUAACAUUUAGGAAUCUACCUAGUAGUGGGGGAUAGCUCGGGGAAACUCGAAUUAAUACCGCAUACGACCUACGGGUGAAAGGGGGCGCAAGCUCUUGCUAUUAGAUGAGCCUAAAUCAGAUUAGCUAGUUGGUGGGGUAAAGGCCCACCAAGGCGACGAUCUGUAACUGGUCUGAGAGGAUGAUCAGUCACACCGGAACUGAGACACGGUCCGGACUCCUACGGGAGGCAGCAGUGGGGAAUAUUGGACAAUGGGGGCAACCCUGAUCCAGCCAUGCCGCGUGUGUGAAGAAGACCUUUUGGUUGUAAAGCACUUUAAGCAGGGAGGAGAGGCUAAUGGUUAAUACCCAUUAGAUUAGACGUUACCUGCAGAAUAAGCACCGGCUAACUCUGUGCCAGCCGCCGCAGUAACAC